GAGGGGGCAAGCGUUAUUCGGAAUUAUUGGGCGUAAAGGGCGCGUAGGCGGCUUUUCAAGGUGGCGGGUGAAAUCCCCUCGGCUUAAACCGAGGAACUGCCUGCCAGACUGGAGGGCUUGAGACCGGGAGAGGUGAGUGGAAUUCCCAGUGUAGCGGUGAAAUGCGUAGAUAUUGGGAGGAACACCAGUGGCGAAGGCGGCUCACUGGACCGGAACUGACGCUGAGGCGCGAAAGCGUGGGGAGCAAACAGGAUUAGAUACCCUGGUAGUCCACGCCGUAAACGAUGAGUGCUUGGUGUAGCGGGUAUCGACCCCUGCUGUGCCGAAGUCAACACAUUAAGCACUCCGCCUGGGGAGUACGGUCGCAAGACUG
rnacentral:rRNA from 1 species